AAUAGAUACCCCGGUAGUCCAUGCCGUAAACGAUGAGUGCUAAGUGUUAGAGGGUUUCCGCCCUUUAGUGCUGCAGCUAACGCAUUAAGCACUCCGCCUGGGGAGUACGGUCGCAAGACUGAAACUCAAAGGAAUUGACGGGGGCCCGCACAAGCGGUGGAGCAUGUGGUUUAAUUCGAAGCAACGCGAAGAACCUUACCAGGUCUUGACAUCCUCUGCCACUCCUAGAGAUAGGACGCUUCCCUUCGGGGAACAGAGUGACAGGUGGUGCAUGGUUGUCGUCAGCUCGUGUCGUGAGAUGUUGGGUUAAGUCCCGCAACGAGCGCAACCCUUGAUCUUAGUUGCCAGCAUUCAGUUGGGCACUCUAAGGUGACUGCCGGUGACAAACCGGAGGAAGGUGGGGAUGACGUCAAAUCAUCAUGCCCCUUAUGACCUGGGCUACACACGUGCUACAAUGGAUGGUACAAAGGGCUGCGAGACUGCGAAGUCAAGCGAAUCCCAUAAAACCAUUCUCAGUUCGG
rnacentral:rRNA from 1 species